rnacentral:rRNA from 1 species
GCAGCCGCGGUAAUACGUAGGUGGCAAGCGUUAUCCGGAAUUACUGGGUGUAAAGGGUGUGUAGGCGGGACUGCAAGUCAGAUGUGAAAAUUACAGGCUCAACCUGUAACCUGCGUCUGAAACUGUAGUUCUUGAGAGUGGGAGAGGUAGAUGGAAUUCCUGGUGUAGCGGUGAAAUGCGUAGAUAUCAGGAGGAACACCGGUGGCGAAGGCGAUCUACUGGACCACAACUGACGCUGAGACACGAAAGCGUGGGGAGCAAACAGGAUUAGAUACCCC